rnacentral:rRNA from 1 species
GAUGAACGCUAGCGGGAGGCUUAACACAUGCAAGUCGAGGGGCAGCACUGAUAGCAAUAUUAGGUGGCGACCGGCGGACGGGUGAGUAACGCGUAUGCAACCUACCCUUUACAGGGGGAUAGCCCGGAGAAAUUCGGAUUAAUACCCCAUAGAUCAGUGAUUCUGCAUGGGAUUACUGGUAAAGCUUCGGCGGUAAAGGAUGGGCAUGCGUCCCAUUAGCUAGUUGGUAGGGUAACGGCCUACCAAGGCAACGAUGGGUACGGGGUCUUAAAGGAUGGACCCGCACACUGGCACUGAGACACGGGCCAGACUCCUACGGGAGGCAGCAGUGAGGAAUAUUGGUCAAUGGGGGGAACCCUGAACCAGCCAUCCCGCGUGCAGGAAGACAGUUCUAUGGAUUGUAAACUGCUUUUCUUGGGGAAGAAUAAUGACGACGUGUCGUCAGAUGACGGUACCCGAGGAAUAAGCAUCGGCUAACUCCGUGCCAGCAGCCGCGGUAAAACGUAG